CAAUAAUAAGCGGAGGAAAAGAAAGCUAACAGGAUUCCCUCAGUAAGGGCGACUGAAGCGGGAAGAGCUCAAGAUGUGAAUCGGUGUUUCGGCACUGAAUUGUGGUCUAUAGAUUCUUGCAUUAAUGGCUGGGUUAAGUCUCUUGGAAUAGAGCGGCUGAGAGGGUGAGACCCCCGUGAACCUGGACUUUAGAGCAAGUAUCAACGAGUCGAGUUGUUUGGGAUUGCAGCUCAAAGUGGGAGGUAAAUUCCUUCUAAAGCUAAAUAUUGGCGAGACACCGAUAGUGUACAAGUACCGUGAGGGAAAGAUGCAAAGAACUUUGAAAAGAGAGUUAAAGAGUACCUGAAAUUGCUGAAAGGGAAGCGAAGGAAAUCAGUGAAGGUCUAGUUACAUUUUCUUGUUUGCUUGCAGUCAAGACGCUGUGACGGACCGCGCAACACUUGGUUAAAUUGGACUAAUUACCCCAGUGGGAGUUGACCUCUGAGGGAACAGUUUGGUUUGACUGAGUUGGUGCAAAAUGGUUUUCUUCUCCCCGUCUAGAAACACGGACCAAGGAGUUUAACAUAUGUGCGAGUAAAGGGGUGACAAACCCUAUUGCGUAAUGAAAGUAUCAGUGGCUGCAUAUUAUUGCCCAGUCCGCCGGCCUCAAUCCUUCGGGAGAAUGGUCUGAGUGUGAGCAUACAUGUUGAGACCCGAAAGAUGGUGAACUAUGCCUGAAUAGGGUGAAGCCAGGGGAAACUCUGGUGGAAGCUUGUAGCGAUUCUGACGUGCAAAUCGAUCGUCAAAUUUGGGUAUAGGGGCGAAAGACUAAUCGACUAUCUAG
rnacentral:rRNA from 1 species